AUUGAACGCUGGCGGCAUGCCUUACACAUGCAAGUCGAACGGUAACAGGCCGCAAGGUGCUGACGAGUGGCGAACGGGUGAGUAAUACAUCGGAACGUGCCCGAUCGUGGGGGAUAACGCAGCGAAAGCUGUGCUAAUACCGCAUACGAUCUACGGAUGAAAGCGAGGGAUCGCAAGACCUCGCGCGGACGGAGCGGCCGAUGGCAGAUUAGGUAGUUGGUGGGGUAAAGGCCUACCAAGCCGACGAUCUGUAGCUGGUCUGAGAGGACGACCAGCCACACUGGGACUGAGACACGGCCCAGACUCCUACGGGAGGCAGCAGUGGGGAAUUUUGGACAAUGGGCGCAAGCCUGAUCCAGCCAUGCCGCGUGCAGGAUGAAGGCCUUCGGGUUGUAAACUGCUUUUGUACGGAACGAAAAGGUUUCUUUUAAUACAGGGAACUGAUGACGGUACCGUAAGAAUAAGCACCGGCUAACUACGUGCCAGCAGCCGCAGUAAGAC
rnacentral:rRNA from 1 species